rnacentral:misc_RNA from 1 species
AAAAUGGGAGACACACAUCAACCUGCAAAGCAAAGACAGAAAGCAAAUUUCAAUUAGUGAACAAAGAAUUUAACUAAUAAUUCUCAGUCCUAGCAAUAUAAAAGAAUUCUAAAAUGCAACAAAACAAAAAUAUAAUAUAAACAAUAAAAUCUGAAGAAACAAGAAUAUACCAUGCUAAAAUACAAAUUUAACAAGUGAAAAUAAUUGUAUAAAUUAGACAAUAAAGCUAUAUUUAAGAUCAUUAUGUAGAUGCAAAUAUGCAAUUCAAAUACUUCAAGAAACUUGACAAUUCACCUUGCUUGACCCUUCUUUGAGAUUUCCACUUCAUAUAAAUAUAGUUAUGACCAAACACAAUGGCUUGACUUUCUGUCUAAUCUAAUACAAAAAGAACCAAUAAUCCUAAAUCAGAUCUACUUCUUCUAAAAUUGAAUUUUACUUAAAUUCUAGUCUACCAAUUUUUCUUCUAUAAAUGUUUGAUUGAUGGGCCCUCUUCAAAUGUGCAAUUUAUUACAUAGACACAAAGUUCAGAAAUGACAUGGACUGCCAGCAUCCAAAAGUUCUUGUGAUACUUCAUGAGAUAAUAUGAAUGAAUUCAUAUAAUACUUCCAGUAUUCUACCUUCCUCAGAGAAAGCA